UAGCAUGAGUCAGUCUUUGCCAUCCAUCCUUACUCAUUUACUGCAACCAAUGUGUAAUAUAUAUUUAAAAAAUUAUGUGAUGCACAUGCCACCGAGAUAACACUCUUUCUCUUAAUUUAAUUAGUCCGGUGCUUUUUUAAAGUGGGGUAAAGACUACUUUAAUUGACAUUUUUGACAAGGACAAUUUAUUUGAAUUGAUUCUUUUUCUUGUGAUGGCAUAUAGCAAUAAUUGAUGCAGAAAUGUGUGUAGCGUGGAUAAAUAAUUGGUUUGAAACCCGUAUCUGUAAAAAACAUUUAGAAAUAUCUUGUCAAAUGUGUAAAGGGCAUGUUACUUGGUGGAGAGAGUUGAGCUCAUAGUGGGGACCCCUCUGUGGUCGAGUAAACCGGUACCACUUUGUCAAAAGUCAGCAGUGGUGUGCUUGUCCAACGUAAGAUGGCCCCUUCAUCAUUACCUGUGACUAAACUGGUAUGAACUACGGCUGAUCUCAGAGCGUCUUAGAAACUAAACAGAAAUGUUGACUUAAAGCUUUCGUGACUGCAGGAAUUAAUAUUCUUUGGGUCUUUCGGUAAAGUCACGUAGAUAGGUUCCUUCCUGAAGACGACCGCUUGUGUUGCGAUCGAAACGUCGUAGUUUUUGUUUUCUGUAAUUUACCCCAAAAAUAUAAACUAAACAGAGUCGAGCAUGGUUCGUAAUUAAAUGGGUUAUCACCCAAGUUGCCAAGUGUUGUUGACAUGGAGCAUGUGAGGUGGCACGGAAAAUGACAGUGCUUAAUGUCGCCCGCUCGUAAAGUGUUGAUGGGGCACUCCAAUAUCUUUCGUCAAUCGGCAAGUCGCGUGGGUUUGUUUGAUACGAUGUGGGUACUCUCACUGUUUUUCCAAGAGAGUAGGUACUCACCACCUGGCCAGGGUGAAAGAGUAGGCCGACGUACCUUCUAGCGGGGUUAUCUAGAGCUCCCGCCUGCUGGAGGCCCUUCUGUCAGCAGCGGCUGUGAGCGCGGCAUUUGCAGCCCUGCGCCUUUACCUUUUUGUCCAGUUUCCUUCCACGAGAAGCCAAUCACUCACGAAUGUUUUUUUUGGCCAAAUGAAAUAAGACUUUCUUGAAAAUGUUAUAUUUAGACUCGGUGAGAGUCUCCUGGGCUAAACAGCAAUAAAGUAUCUACAUCAAAACCCUAUUAUUAUUAUAACAAUAAAGUAGUAAUUAUAACAACGUGAGAUUGCCUACUCGGGGAGUCAACGGAUAUGAGCACUCAUCUCGCCUGCUUGAGUUAGGCAAACACUGACUGAACUGGAUUUGCCGUGUGCGACGUGCGUCGGGAACAAUGGGAGUCUGCGCGCCUCUGGUGGUGUUGGUGUGACCUCUCCUGUUGGCAGCGCCCUCAGUGGCGGCUCUGGCUCGAACCUACCUUUUGGGGUGACGGGUGAGGGGAGAUUGCAGUAAUGUUCGUACGAGUCUGCACACCGGUUCUCCUCUGCAUAAUUACUGUUUAUAAAUAGAAUCUGUAAUAAGCUCAGGCCGACGGCAGAGUGGAUUGGAAGCUGUAGCCAAAUUCUCACGGCUGUGCUGCGUGUGCCGCAUAUUAAUCGGAUUGCCACUGUGCGUGCGCGAGGCGGUGGCGAUCAGAGAGAGAGAGAGGGCCUGCAGAUGGUGGCUGGUUGGGAUGGCGUGGAAGGCGCUGACCCUGCAGGCUGUUGGCGCUGACAGGGACCGGUCAGAGUAGCUCCGUCUCCCACGGGAGCUGACUGAGAUGCAGCGAGCAGCGAGGUCACGGCCGCUGACCUCGAUGGGGCGUGAAGAAUCUGCUGGCUGUAGAGGGGAUGUACAGGGGACCACCCUGAGGAGUGAGCACACGGGGUCCGACAGAGCACGGUGCGUCAUGUCACCCACAUCACUGGUACGGUGUGGUUUAGGGUGGUGAUAUGGCCGAGGCCCUAAGAGGUAGUGCGAUCACCGCUCGUUGCAGAGGUCCACAGCUUGAAUGCAACGGCCACUCCGAUUGCCUCUGUGGGUGUGAUCACCAAAACACCACGCACCGUCUGCUCCAAAGUGGACGUUAAAGAUCCCCGGGCGUCAUACGCAAUAGUAAGUCACUGUGUGCUGGCGUCAAAGGUCAACAUUAAAAAAAUAAAUCGAACAACUUCCAAAAAAUGGGAUUAUACAUCACAAGCGUCGCCCCCUACUGGCACACUGAUGCCUCGGGUUAUUCUUGCAAUUGAGUCUAUCCCAGUCUCUUGAGUUCUCACCUGGUUAAACAAAAUGCACUUGGUUGCCUCGUGGGUCUCUUGCUGAGCCGAUGCCCUCGUGCACCGAGUGCCCACCCAGGAGUUUGCGCUGAGUGCGACCUUGCGCGAGGAUGCCCUCCUCCACGCAUACUCCCGGUGAUGGAGCUGAUGAUGGCGUCUAUGAUGAUGGUGCUUGUAUUUAGAUGAGCGGGUGCAUUGGCCAGGAGGUGCAAGUAUAGCAAUUGAUUAUCUUAAAUCUAUCCGUGUGGAGCUUUUGAGUCUUACCCCCUUGUAUGUAUGUCAUUUUUGCAGGUACUCUUUUUAUUCUCUUCCAACAAGUCAAACACUCAUACAUGGACUUGAACAAGCAUCCCAGCAUGGCAGGACCCUCAUGAAUAAUAAAUUAUACUCAAGUGAGUUUUUUUUCUUUUUCCCCUGGGUACAUGGAGGGCAAUUAGCCCCCGAACAGAAUUCCCGAUGCUGCUGGCUUAACCGUUACGUGGAUCAACGAGAGGUUUGUGCAGUCCACUCAGGCACCGCGGUGGUUGUGAAUAUUUGGCUUGCGGGCCCUGCCUCCCUAAGCUGUGGCAUCAGGGUUGGGUUGGUAGUCCAGCUACUUAAAUGAAGAAAUUUAAAGGCCCGGGGAAAGUAUAUCCAACAGGAAUACUUGAAGCAAAUACAAAGACAAUAGCCAGGAUAUGACACUGGAAAUGUAAGGCAACUGCACAAAAAAAGGCCGAGGCAGAUAUAUUGCUUUGUUGGUGAUUUGAAAAAGUAACAGCACCGCGAAUGGUGGGAUGAGUGAAAUUAGGUGGAUAGAUUCAGGUUGGGCCUGACGUGAGGAUUACACUCUGCGGUAUCGUGGGGCGUGGGAGGGGGGUGAGGCAUCACGAAGCAGGACGAGGGAUGGCCAUUAGCAACAUGAUAGCAAAUUGGAUGACCAUGUAUGUCUCAGAGGGGCAGCAUGGGAUAGGGCAGGGGAAUAAUAAUGGAACCAUGUUACUCGAGUUAUGCAGCAAGGAAUAGAUUAAUUAUCUGGAAUACACAGUUGGAAUAGAAUAAGUCACCCAAGCUGAUGUGGAAAUCACAACGAUGGUGAGCCUGAGGCUUUGUAUGAUUACAUUGUAGCCCGAGAACAACGCAGGAAAUCUUACCUGAAGACCAGAGCUUACAAUGUUGCAUAUAUCAAUCCAGACACAAAAUAGUUAUUGCAGGAGUAAGAGAGAAGCCAGGGAGCAAGUGACCUAGAUGAGCUGUUCUUAGUCGUGACACAGCAAAACUAAAGAUCUACGAGGGACAGCGACAAAUUCAGGUAAGCACCGGGAGGCAGGUUUGGACAGAAGAAGAAGGAGGGGAGUCGGAAUGAGAAGCAGACGCUCCGGGAAGGCUUUAUUGUAGUUGAAGUUGAAGCAGCAGCAGAAGUCCUUGGUCCUAAAGUCAGCAAUAAGGGUGAACAAGUGCUCAACCGAAGAAGCCAUAGAUGGAGCUGCACGAGGGAAGUGAAAGCAAAUGUUGCAUGGAGAGGACAAUAGAACAGGGAAGAGCAGGGAAGAUUGAGGAUACGUUGUACGACCACAGGAAGGAAACCAGACACUGGCAUAGGUGAGGACUACCGUACUUAUUGGCAGGCGCAAGCAGAGGAGAUGGAAAAUCCUAACAGGAAAAGGAACAGCAAAACGUUAUUUCCAAUGGUCAAUGAAUGACGCGUUAAGGAAAUGUCUUAAGAAUGCGGAUUAGAGCUGGAGCUGGGCAGGGAUGGCAGUGGGAACACUGAUGAUGAAUGAGUGUUAGAGGUAUUGCAGACAUGAUCUUAGCCGCCUUUUGAGCAGAGAAGAACGCAUAGACCCAGGAGUAUAAUUGCUACGGAACAUCGGGCAUCAGGAGGAAAUGUCUGUGCAGGAUUAAGCAAUGAUAGUAGGCAUGGUUGAAAGAGGUAACCUCAGAAGAAGUUGAAACAGCGGUGAAGAACAUUAGAUCAGGUCAGGGGGCUGUGAGAAGGAGGUCAAGAAGUGAAUUGCUAUCAGCAGACAAUGUUUUUUUUUUAUGGGCUAUGGAAACCACUGUGAAAGAGAGAUAAGCGUGUAAACAGAAUGGUAUGCGAGGCAGGAGUGGUGUAUAUGUUUUACUCUACGGAUCGGAGAGCUGCACUCGCAUCGGUUCAAAAAUAAGUUGUGAGGAUUUGAGCACUACAGAUGUCUGACACGGAUGAUCGGGAUUUCCAUGGCAAGACAGGAUAUGAGCAUUGCGAAGGUAUGGGAGAUAACAUGCCAGGUAAGUAGAUGUGAUCACAAAAAAAAACCCGCUGUGCUGAUUGGGACGUGUGGAGGAUGGGUAGAGGACCUAUGGCCAAAGACAGGUAAUGGAGUGGUCUCUAUAAGUCUCUUGACGGAGUGGAUGACCUAAGAACAGAUGGUGGGAAACUGUUGGGACAGAUUUUGGAGGUUGUCUGUCUAAUGUGCAACAUUUGCAGGAUCUGACGGAGAGUUAAAGGCUUUGGCGAGGUGUGGUGUCAUGAACGUCUUUGACAUCUUGAUAUUUUGAUCUCAUAGUACUAUGAUCAUUAUUUGGGCUCACAUCUCCCUGUUGUUAUCCUAUCUCACGAGUCGUCUUCCCUCCACGACUCCCUUUUUACCUUGGCUGAAUAAGGAAUUGUAUUUUUCAUUUAAUUGAAAAAUAAACACGAGAUAAUGUGUUUUUUU